ensembl:lncRNA
GGCCAACCCAGGGGAGCUCAGGUGCAUGGAAUGAACCUGUGUCUGUAAGGGGUGGGGCCAGGAUCCAGCCCUUCCCAGACCUCAUUUAAGGGCUGGCAGUAGAGAUGAGGGUGUCUUCCUGGAGAUCCCUGCUUACCCAAGGCCUUCCAUAGUGCCAUUUACUACAGCCUGGAUGGCAGAGAGCAUGCUAUGGGAAGCCAUGCAUGUGGGUGAAGUGGCUUCCACCUUGGAGGAGCCCCUGAAAGCAAUGUCAGGAAAGAAAGCAGCACAGACAGCACUGGACUGUUCUAUGUAUGAGCGCAAGGGAGAGAGAUCAUCUAGGAAAUGGCCUUCCAAAGGGAAAAUGGCACCAGAAGGAGCAAGGAGUGGGACGUGCCUGGAAGUCAGCCUUCUGCAGAUGCCAAGCUCCUGGGUGAGCGUGGCAGGAGAAAGUAGUGCAAUGACCAAAACUGCUUUGUGAGCUUGAGUCAUGUUGGAGAAGGGGAAUUCCUGGGUCGCUGCCAUGAGGUCUGCUUCUGCCUCUUCAGUUGACUACAUGGGCAGAAAAAGGUCCUUGGGUGUCUUCCUGAGAACCUGCUCCUGCCACCUUGGCUGUGUCCAUGGGUCCCAGCUCCUCUGCCAGGCAACAACCAUCAGAGUUGGCUUUGCAGCCCCCACCUUGCAGUAGUGGUGUCUCUCAGAAGGGUUUACCCAGGCCUUUAGUGCCCUCCUAGAGUGUAGGAGCUCUACUGCUAUCUCACUUCCAUCAGUGUGGCAGAAACAGACCUGCCAGUAAGAACUAGAAGUCAUUUAAUUAUAGGCUCAUAGAAUCCCCGAAUCAUAGGGUGACUUGUGGUAGAAGGGACCUUAAACAUCAUCUAGUUCCAAUGCCUGUGCUGUGGUCUGGGUUGCCACCCAGAAGGUCAGACUGCCCAAGUCCUUUCCAGAAGUGCUUUCACUCCUAGACUUAUUUUGAUGUUGUUUGCUCACCUGUCCUCAAGGAAACGGCUUGUCUUUUAGAAGGAAGGACACAGGCAUGCCAAACUCCUCCUAAGCAAGGGGCUUGACCAACUGGGGGCUUAAACAGAAAAAUGGCACCCUCCUGUGGCAACAUUAAAAAAAAAAAAGUCUUAAUAAAUGCGGUGUCUAAUUCAGUCAGUACAUGUGACCCACAUGCACAUCACCAUGUGUUUUGUAAGGGAUCAUGGUGCCCCUCUGCUUAGGCCAAAACUUGCCCCUCAAGCUGGGCUAGUGGAGUGGGGCCUAGCUGUGGGCGAAGACCCUCCGAGGUCAGGUGGAGAAGCCUGCGGCAAGUUGUGAGGCAGCAGUUUGGCUGUGUGGAGCCACCCUGCAUCCCGAAGUCCACGUCCAGCCAGCUUCAAGAGCCUACGUCCUUUUUUUGGACUUGGCUCUUCGUCAAAACCAUAGGGUACAGUGCCUGCAUGGACUUCAAAGGAAAGGCACCAAAUGUGAUUUGGCCCAGGCCAUUUAUUGCUAGCAUCUUUGUUAGAUACUGCUGCCAAGGGUUAAAAUGUUUACAUGCCCCCUGAUUUUAAAUGGACUGGGUUGCAUGUCAGAUGCCAACGGGAGAGACAGCUGGAGUAUCUAAACCAAGAGCUUUGAUCUUAGUAUCUGUAAAAAAAGAGGUCAUUUGGUCUCCCAGGAAGCAGAGACAUUUAGAAGGUCCCUGUACAACUCAUGCAAGUAUUUUAUUAACGACAAUUUUUAUUCAAAUGUAGAUCUCGGAGCUCACAGGGAAAACCACCCUCACCCACCCUGCAGGAGGAGCACAAUGGCACAAUGGCACCCUCUGUUGCCCUGCGCGCUGCUCCCACGUGGAUGUAUGAACUCCUGAAAGUAUCCAUUCCCCAUCUCCAAAUCUCAUCUCUUCCCGCCGAGCUUCCUUGUUUGUUUGGAGUUAUCCUGUUAUUUCCAUUUGUAAUAAAACCCGUCUUGUUCUUUUUGUGCUGAGUGGAGAAACAUCGAGAGGAUUGUCACGCUCAUUUCAUGAACAGUUGGCCUCCUGUCCCCAUUUUGUCCUCCCUAAGUGGCAGCUCCUUGCAACAGUUGUAUUAACAACUGAGCUCAGCCCUGCAAAGUGGUGGGCAUUUCCAGCGUUAACUGGAAAGCAAUUAGUCUUGAUGAGAUUGGGCUGUCCAACUCUCAGACAAUUAAUUAAAUUACAGCUUGUCUUUCAUUUGGUUGAACAAAAACUUGAUUCAUUAAUUAAAAUACACUGUGAAUCUGAUUUUUUGCUCUGAUCCUCUGUGUGUUCGUAAGCAAACAACAAGUUCCUUUUAGGAACCAAAACAAAAUUCCUUCUGGAGCAUGACAAGUUUUCACUCCUAAUCACCUUGUAUCCAUGUGAACACACUUUAAUUGCUCAUUAACACAAAGUUAGCGGGCUGACACACAACUAGCUGCUUCUUUUGGACUUCUCUAACAGUAACUUUUUUGUGUGUGUCUCGUAAGGAGACCAGACGUUUCUCAGAAUCAAUCAACUUUUUCUGUGUUUUACUUCCAUGCCAUGCUGUAAAGGAUUGUACAGUUGCCUCGCUGUAAUGUUAUUAUUCAGGACUGAUUUUACUGUGAUGGCAUAAGAGGAAUUAGACAUGUCCAUUCUAUUGUUGUUGAUAUGACUGUGCCUAUUUUCCCCAUAUGCAGUCUGAAACAAUUAUCAGAAGCAGUACAUAGAACUCAUCACUUAGAAAUGAUUACUUAGAAGUCAUUAGAUGUUGUUAAUGUGAACAGAUUUUUGUAAAAGCCACGUUUUGUGCAGGACUGGUUAUUUUUAGAUAAAAAUAUUUAAACUGAAGAAGAGAUUUCAAUUUUUCAAAUUGUGAUGUACAGGAACUCAGUGAGAAUUAAAAAUCUGACAUAAGAUCCAGUAUAAAAAAAGUAUUUCAGUGCAUCUAUUUGACAAGCACAAAUGGUCUGUAAGUAUGUUGAAUUAUAACAAAAAAUGAGUUGGAAAUAUUUGGGAUACUCUGUCUGUUCAGUUUUAAGCAGCCUUACCUACUGUGCCAAUGACUUACAGUCAGGUUUGGAUUCUGUGUGCUCAUCAUCAGCUUUCAGGAUCCAUGCUACAUUUGCCUCCUUUGAUUCUGCAAAGAUUUUGUCAAGAAAUUGAACUGAAUUUUAUCCCAGGCCUCACAAAUACAACCAUGUUUGACAGUUGUGGGAAAGAAGGGGGUUCGAGCUGCAUCUAUUGUUUGUUCAGAAAUAUCUAAUUUCAUAAGUCAAAUUACUCGUAAUGAUUCCAUACUAAUUUGUUAUUUGAAUCCUUUGCAGGCCUACUUUCUCCCAGAUGAUGGGAGACAAGAGGAAUUGCCUAAGCUUUUGAUACUGUGUAGAUCUCUGCUGAAACACAUUCUGAUUGCUACUGAUCUAGACAUAUCUUUUUUCUUAUAAGCUUAAGCCCGCAAGCUUCAGAAUUUAGCAUAAAAGACCAGCUGUCACCUGAUUUUGUUGUUCUUUUUUUUAGAGAAACAAUUCAAUUUUAGGGGAAAAAAAGGCAACUCAAUGUUAAAAUGCCAAAGAAAAGCUUCUCUGAAAUGUAAACAAAACCAAAAUGACCAUACCUUAAAACAGCACAUUUCAACAGGAGUUGAAGUGUUCCUCCCUUCUGUUUUCUCAAACCGAAGUGCUGACAAAAUCAGUAUGUUUUCUGAAGUGUUUCAUUUUGAUCAGAUUUGCAUGUUUUGGUGAAAUAUGGAUCCAGUGAAGCGAUCCUGGCUGGCUGAAUGUGUUGUUUCUUUUGGUUUAUGGCAUCUGCGAGCCUAUCAAAACUGUCCCAGUCUUCCAUGAAUGGAGAAAUGAUUCCAGUUAAGUCAAAAAGAAAGAAAGAGAGAAAGAGAGAAAGAGAGAAAGAAAGAAAGAAAGAAAGAAAGAAAGAAAGAAAGAAAGAAAGAAAGAAAGAAAGAAAGAAAGAAAGAAAGAAAGAGAAAAAGAAAAAGAAAAAGAAAAAGAAAAAGAAAAAGAAAAAGAAAAAGAAAAAGAAAAAGAAAAAGAAAAAGAAAAAGAAAGAAAAAGAAAAACCAACCCUGAAGUGUUGUCACUCUUAUCCAGAAAACCAGGCCCAAGUGAACAUUCAGAAAAAGGAUAGAAAUAGAUGGAAGAGAUGUCAUUCCUUGUGAAGAAGGGGGGAAGUUUAGGUUAGAUGUUAGGAAGAAAUUCUUUUCUCAGAGGUUGGUGAGGCACUGGUACAGGCUGCCUGGUGAGUUGUAGAUGCCCCAUCCCUGGAAGUGCUGGAGGCCAGGUUGGAUGGGGCCAUGUGCAGCCUGAUCUGGUGUGGAGCAACCCAGCCCACAGCAAACGGCUAGGAGAGGAUGAACUUCAAGGUCCCUGCCAACCUAAGACAUUAUGUCAUUCUAUGAUUCUUUGAUUCUGUGCAGUCACCUGUCUUUGCAUGAUGGAGAAUACCAAUCCUCAGCCAAAGACAUCCUCAUUCCUUUUAUAUUUCCCUCACAUUUCCCUGUACACAUUUGCUACUGACUUGAUGUGGCAAAAAUGCCCAUUUGCACAAGCUGUGAGUCUUCUAGGGACUCCAUCGCCUGGCUUAUCACUUUAACAUCUGAUGUCAACUCUACUUUAAAAUGCAGAGCUGAAACAAAGGAUGCCAAACUAAACCAUGCAAGUGUCCAUCUCCAGCUGAGGAGGGGACACGAAGAAAAGAAAUCUGUUGUCACCUCUGGAGAUGUGGUCCAUUUCCAAGCAAAAUCUGGGUACAAUGCAGCAGAAAGUCACCACGUGCCACGGAGUUGUUUCAGCCCUUAAAAAAAACCCAGAUUUGUUGAGGGUGACUCCUGUUUCCCCACUAGUACAUAAACAUUGUGUUUAGCUACACCAAUUCCCCAGGAGUGAUGAGCGUGCUGGCAGGUCAGGGGACCUGCUGUUGGGUUAUAUCAUUGUUAUGAGAGUCACACUGCUAAGAAGCUUUGAGUUGUACCCCAUGCUGAGAAUAAUCCAAAUAAUCUGCAACUCAAAACAUCCCUCAUCAGGGAUCACUGUGAACACAGGCAAUUUCAGCUGACCCGAUGUGCUAAACAUAAACAUGUCAAGAUCUCAAUAGUACCAGAACAUUUGUUUUAAAUAUCCUGUGUGAAAUUGGUGCCAAUGGACAACAUCAAUCGUUUGCCAGAUGUUCUUUUCUCUAAUUUUACUGCAGAGCACAUACAAGUAUGUGCUGGAAUUAACAUGAUGACUGGGGAGAACACAGUAGCCAACCCUUGGUUUAUUGCAGCAGUGCAAAAGACAGUAAUUUCCAGGAAGAGAGAUUACUCCUGGUUCAAAAGACUGUGAGAUAUGCAUGCAGCCUCUCAAGGGAUAUAUAUAUCUCAUGCAAACAAAUAACAUGAUCUAUGAGCCCUUUAAGGUUAAGUUUUGACAGUGGUAGAACAGGUGAGAGCUUGGACUGUAUAGCUCUCUUCUCAUGAGCUGGAUGUUGUUAUCCAGAGAAGAAAGCAAAGUGCACAUCACUAGUAUUGAGGCUAACCACAACCACAAGCUCAGAGCAAUCUACAAUCUACAGCAGAAACCCAGAGUGGUAAAACUGCAACUGGAAUGAGGCAUAGAGAUGAGUCAAGUACGAGGGUUGCUCCAAAAGUAAUGCCUCCUGUUUUAUUCCAUUGGCCCAUUAUGUCAGUAGCAGAUGAUGGCAGUAGGGACUGAACCUUCCCACCAAUAUUCUGUUACAUUUUGUUGCUGUGUGACAGAUGGCAGCAGAGGGGCAGUCUGACAAAAUGGUGUCUGACAUGGAAGUGUAUAUGAAACAAAGGUGAAAGAUAAGGAAAGCUGGGACCACAGAAAUUUAUCUGGUAAUUGCUGAGAUCUGUGUCCACGGCAAAUGUAUUCUGCACAGAAAGAGAGCGGAUGCACUGUUCCACAUCUACCAAAGCAUCAAAUGACGUUUUUCAGGGCAUUGCUGCUGUAACAUAUUGUGUAAAGAAACUAGAUCAGAAAUACUGAAACACAUAUAAAAAAAGAUAACGUGUCUUUCCAUCCACAUUGUCAAUAGAUUCAGAGCAGGAACAGUGCCAGAUUAAAGCAAAGCAAAUAUUUGCAGUAUAAUAUUUUAUUCAUCAGAAAUUCUUCAAGUUUUUGAUGGAUAUUUUUGGCUGAUACAGAAAUUCUUUAACUACAAAGUUUUAUUUGAGUGUUUUCAGAAACGCUGCUGAAUAUGAGUCUCUUAAGACUGAAACCUUCUUAAAAAAAAACAACAAAAACAAACAAACAAAAAAAACCCACAUAGAAACAGAGCAUUCGUUUUUCUAUACAUUUCCAUAAGUCUUUGGAGGUUUUUAGUGUGCAGUGGAUAAACUGAUGGAUUUAAAUGACACAGAUAUCCUCAGCGCAAAAUCUCAGAUCCUGGAGCUUUUAUUUACCAAAGGAAGCCAAACUCAAAACAUAUUUUGUUUACCUUUGGCCAUAUUUUCUUCAAGAUAUUACUUCAAAUGCAAGAAGGCAUGCCAUCUUAGGAAUAAUGUCUCUCUUUAUACAUCUUUAACAGAUUUCCUUCCUUCCUUCCUUCCUUCCUUCCUUCCUUCCUUCCUUCCUUCCUUCCUUCCUUCCUUCCUUCCUUCCUUCCUUCCUCCCUUCCUCCCUUCCUCCCUUCCUCCCUUCCUCCCUUCCUCCCUUCCUCCCUUCCUCCCUUCCUUCCCUCCUUCCUUCCCUCCUUCCUACCUUUUCCUUUUUCCUUUUUCCUUUUUCCUUUUUCCUUUCUUUUUUUCCUAGGGUUUGCCCUCUUUCUUGCUCAAAGAGUAGGUGUUGAGCUGAUAAAUGGAAGAACUCUUCUGGAUACAGUCCAUCCCGGAAACCCUCAUACUAUUAAAAACUGUAAUUACAAUUUGGAAGGGAAUCCAAACUUUUCUAGGAAUGCUUAAGUCUUUCAGGACUGCUAAAUUCUUCAAACUUAACAGGGUCUGUGCAGUUUGCUUACUUGGGGAUAUGCAUGUUCACUUCACCAAAGGAAACACAAACUAGAAUUCAGUAGGGCUCAUUAGAAAAUCCCACACACUGAGCUAUCUUUAUAAACGCUUAAAGAAAUAAUUUGUAGGUACCCCAGAAGAUGGAAAGAGGAAUGCACUGAUUUUUCCAUAGAUGGUUAAGCAAAAAAUGCUUCUCUGCAAUUUUGAUUACUUUGACAUGAUGUAAAUUAAUACUAGCUUCUACAGAGUUGGUUUCUCUGGCAGGGACUGUCAAUAAAGUAACUAAGAUUAAGGGUCUUGCUAUGGAUUUUAGAAGCACUUUAAAACAACAAGCAUAAAUGCUUCACUAAUAUUUAAGAUGGGAUUCACUGAUGUGGCCAUCCUAUUUAAUACCCAUAACCUAUAACCAUCUAGUUAAAAAUAGACCCAUAGUAAGCUUGCUAGCUGCAGAGGAUCCUAUACAAUCCCUUAAAGAGCCCUAACUUGAAAGCAUAAUCAAAACAAGCUAGCUUCUGUUCAUUCAUGAUGUUAUUUCACACUGAAGCUGGUCAGCUAUCUAAAUAAUCCAUGUUCAGCCUUUCUUUUGGCCUUAAUGGAGUACAACACGAAAGUCAACGCUUGGUGCUAUAUCUUUCUAUGGCUCCUUUAAGGUCAUAGAACCAUAGCAUAGCUUAGGUUGGAAGGGACCUCAAAGAUUAUCCAGUUCCAACCCCCUGCCAUGGGCUGGCUGCCCCUCACCAGCUCAGGUUGCCCAUGGCUCCAUCCAGCCCAGCCUUGAGCACCUCCAGGUAUGGGGCACCCACAGCUCUCUGGGCAGCCUGUGCCACUCAUAUCUGUUUGCUCUUCUAAACUACAGCUUUUACUCUUGGUUGCCAGUCACAGAGGUGAAAACAAUGCAGUUUUCUGAAAAGUCCUAUGGAAAGUAGACCUAUAGCAGAGCAGCUACAGCUUGCUGCACAAAUGCAGUAUCUAUUAUUAUCUUUUAAAAUAUCCCAUUUAAAAUAAUUUAACUUAUUGCAUACAUUGAUAUAUAUUAAAAUACAGUCAAACAGCUGACCAGAUCGACACCUGAAAACAAUCUGGUCAUGUGAGCUGUCCUGGAUUACCAAAUUCAGCCUGCUCUGUGGCAGUCUUGGUAAUAUUUCACAAUUAUACUGAGAACAGCUGAAAACUCUUCAGUUAGGUUCUGAUAGCCAACAUUAGCUCUUUGAUAUAAACUACUGGAUUAAAAUUGUUUACACUACUUAGUGAGUACUUAGAACCGUGAAUUUUGGUGGAGUUGUUCCACAAAGAAUUUUUACGUAACCAGUGCUAUGAUUGAUUGCACCCUUCACUAAAGUCACAUGCAGUCAUCACAGUGUGCACAAGAAACAAGAAGAGAAAACAUCCCUCCAACACACAUCACACCUCCAAAGAGAGACAGACACCUGAAGGCUGUCAGCCACUGCACAGAGAUGAGGCAUCAUAGUUUCCUCUGGAAAUUGGGGCACACCAGCUGUAACUACUCACAGCCAUUCUGCAUCAGAGUAUGAAAAGAGAGUGGAUGCAUCAGUGCAGUGCUGGGGUUUUACAGCUAUGUGCAACAAAAUGUAUAAAACUUAUGAGUUUCAGAGCAGGUUUGUUUGUCUUCUCCUACCACGUAAGUCAUAUUGAGGGCUUUUUUCUACACAAGCAUACAAUCUUAGAGUACUAUUGCAAUUCUCUUAUUCCAUCAUACAGGUGAUGCACAGCACAGGACGGUCCAUAUAGCUGUGAAAAUCCUAACUCUGGUAUUUACUGACUUUCAUGCUUUUUUCAGACAACCCUGCAAUUAUAUUCAUGUCAUUUCUGCCAGUUAAAACUGUUGCUAACCUUCAUAAUUGUUAAGGGACUGCACAGUGCAAUUUAGCAUAGUUAGGGCAAUUAGAAAGUUAAGCACCAUGAGCCAACAGUCAGUAGCAGCAUUUUUUGCCAAGUAUAAGGAAACCUAAAGGCUCCAUCUAAUACAAGAUAGUUCUCAGGAUUUUGUUUGCAGGCCCAUGGGCCAGCCUCCUGCUUUGUCAGGCUGUAGCAGAUCUUCUGCCUUUUUGCCUGGUGAAUGUUGUUGAAGCAAGAGCAGGACCUGAGCCUGUUUCAAUUGCCCCAUUGGUAACCGCUUGGGAACUUGACCUCCAGGGUUGUAACUGGAGGUAGGCUUGAGAUCUCCCCAUUGGAAGAUACUUAACACAUUUCCCUUGCUUUUUACAUCCAUCUGAAAUGUAUUUAGCUAACUUCUGAGCUACCUUGCAUGUAAAACCUUGAACCACAAUUGUAAACUCUCCACUUUCCCUUAUUAGUACAAUAUUUGAUUUGGAUGACAUGUUUUUUAUAAUAUUUAUUUUCUGGCCCAUUUUGAGACUCUCGUGUUAAUGCCACAAGAACUUCACCCCUUGUAUAGUAUUUCAGACAUGGAGGGAAAAAAAAUGAAGUGAAAAAGUAAAAAUAAAAAGCAAAACCAACCGUCUGCAUUCACUUAAACUACAUUACAAUAAAGCUCAGUAAGAUCUGAUCAGUAGUUUUUUUAGCCUUCUCUGAUUCAAUAUGAAAGAAAUUAGUGGAAAACCUAAAGGCUGAAAGGAAACUUUUGCCACUGUUCAAAACAGGAUGUGAAACUUUUAACAUAAUAUUUACAUAUAUUACGCUAAAUACUUUCUGCAGAGUUAAACUUUAGCACUGCUAGCUUCAGACAGACUGGGAAAGACAUUUGCUUAUAUCUGAUAAACCAGAUUUUGAGAAGAAAAUGUUUUAUUCUUUUUGUUCUUCCUAUGUCUACGCUAGUGCUGGCAGAACAAUUGUGAUUUAGAAGUAUGUAAACAUGUUCAUUAAAG